rnacentral:rRNA from 1 species
ACAGCAGUAGCCGCGGUAAUACGUAGGUGGCAAGCGUUGUCCGGAAUUAUUGGGCGUAAAGGGCUCGCAGGCGGUUUCUUAAGUCUGAUGUGAAAGCCCCCGGCUCAACCGGGGAGGGUCAUUGGAAACUGGGAAACUUGAGUGCAGAAGAGGAGAGUGGAAUUCCACGUGUAGCAGUGAAAUGCGUAGAGAUGUGGAGGAACACCAGUGGCGAAGGCGACUCUCUGGUCUGUAACUGACGCUGAGGAGCGAAAGCGUGGGGAGCGAACAGGAUUAGAUACCCCCGUAGUCCCUGUCUCUUAUAC